AUUCCCGCAUAUAUUCCAAAUCUUCCCCGAGAAAUGGCGGAUGUAAAUUCCGUCGAAUUUUGAUCAAGGAUUCUUGUGUGGUUGGUGGGGACAAUUUGCUUUCGGCUUCUUGCUUGAAAUGUUCGAAACGUGCCUUCAUUUCUCCAGGCUGAAGAAGAAGUUUGAUCCGUUUAUCAGCCUCCUCAAACAUGGUCUCAACAUCUUGAUUGACUAGCCAUUAUCCUUAAACUAGCUCUGUCAUAAUAGUUGGAGAUGGUCGUUCAUCAUCGUUGGCAAUUGUUUCCUUUGGCCGCCAUUUAGGGACCGAAGCUUCUUGGGCUGACCGUCGGCGCGCCAUGCAGUCUAUUCUUUGGUGUCUACAUUUCUGGGACUUGGACAAUGCGGUGUACACACCUUUCGAAGAGUGAUACGUAUACCAACGCUGGUCCCGAGG
rnacentral:lncRNA from 1 species